GACAGAGGUCUCGAGCGUUAGGCGGAAUCACUGGGCUUAAAGCGUGUGUAGGCGGGUCGUUAAGUACCUUGUGAAAUCCCAUGGCUCAACCAUGGAACUGCUUGGUAUACUGGCGAUCUUGUGCAACCUAGGGGCGAGCGGAACAGAUGGUGGAGCGGUGAAAUGCGUAGAUAUCAUCUGGAACGCCAAUGGUGAAAACAGCUCGCUGGGGGUUUGCAGACGCUGAGACACGAAAGCCAGGGGAGCGAACGGG
rnacentral:rRNA from 1 species